rnacentral:tRNA from 1 species
GUCCUGAUAGCUCAGUUGGAUAGAGUGAUUGCUUCCGAAGCAAUAGGCCAUGGGUUCGAGUCCCUUUCAGGACACCA